rnacentral:rRNA from 1 species
GACGAACGCUGGCGGCGUGCUUAACACAUGCAAGUCGAACGGAAAGGCCCUGCUUUUGUGGGGUGCUCGAGUGGCGAACGGGUGAGUAACACGUGAGUAACCUGCCCUUGACUUUGGGAUAACUUCAGGAAACUGGGGCUAAUACCGGAUAGGAGCUCCUGCUGCAUGGUGGGGGUUGGAAAGUUUCGGCGGUUGGGGAUGGACUCGCGGCUUAUCAGCUUGUUGGUGGGGUAGUGGCUUACCAAGGCUUUGACGGGUAGCCGGCCCGAGAGGGUGACCGGCCACAUUGGGACUGAGAGACGGCCCAGACUCCUACGGGAGGCAGCAGUGGGGAAUAUUGCACAAUGGGCGGAAGCCUGAUGCAGCAACGCCGCGUGCGGGAUGACGGCCUUCGGGUUGUAAACCGCUUUCGCCUGUGACGAAGCGUGAGUGACGGUAAUGGGUAAAGAAGCACCGGCUAACUACGUG